rnacentral:rRNA from 1 species
UACGAAGGGGGCUAGCGUUGUUCGGAAUCACUGGGCGUAAAGGGCGCGUAGGCGGCCAUAUAAGUCGGGGGUGAAAGCCUGUGGCUCAACCACAGAAUUGCCUUCGAUACUGUAUGGCUCGAGACCGGAAGAGGUAAGUGGAACUGCGAGUGUAGAGGUGAAAUUCGUAGAUAUUCGCAAGAACACCAGUGGCGAAGGCGGCUUACUGGUCUGGUUCUGACGCUGAGGCGCGAAAGCGUGGGGAGCAAACAGG